CACUCCUACGGGAGGCAGCAGUGGGGAAUUUUGGACAAUGGGCGAAAGCCUGAUCCAGCAAUGCCGCGUGAGUGAAGAAGGCCUUCGGGUUGUAAAGCUCUUUUGUCAGGGAAGAAACGGUGAAAGCUAAUAUCUUUUGCUAAUGACGGUACCUGAAGAAUAAGCACCGGCUAACUACGUGCCAGCAGCCGCGGUAAUACGUAGGGUGCAAGCGUUAAUCGGAAUUACUGGGCGUAAAGCGUGCGCAGGCGGUUUUGUAAGUCUGAUGUGAAAUCCCCGGGCUCAACCUGGGAAUUGCAUUGGAGACUGCAAGGCUAGAAUCUGGCAGAGGGGGGUAGAAUUCCACGUGUAGCAGUGAAAUGCGUAGAUAUGUGGAGGAACACCGAUGGCGAAGGCAGCCCCCUGGGUCAAGAUUGACGCUCAUGCACGAAAGCGUGGGGAGCAAACAGGAUGAGAAACCCCGGUAGUCCC
rnacentral:rRNA from 1 species